rnacentral:rRNA from 1 species
UUCCGGUUGAUCCUGCCGGAGGUUACUGCUAUCGAGGCUCGACUAAGCCAUGCGAGUCGAAUGUAGCAAUACAUGGCGUACUGCUCAGUAACACGUGGACAACCUGCCCUUAGGUCCGGCAUAACCCCGGGAAACUGGGUAUAAUCCCCGAUAGGUCUCGGCUGCUGGAAUGCAUCGAGAUUAAAAGCUCCGGCGCCUAAGGAUGGGUCUGCGGCCUAUCAGGUAGUAGUGGGUGUAGUGUACCUACUAGCCUACGACGGGUACGGGUUGUGAGAGCAAGAGCCCGGAGAUGGAUUCUGAGACACGAAUCCAGGCCCUACGGGGUGCAGCAGGCGCGAAAACUUUACAAUGCUGGCAACAGCGAUAAGGGAACCUCGAGUGCCAGGUUACAAGUCUGGCUGUCGAGAUGCCUAAAAAGCAUUUCAUAGCAAGGGCCGGGCAAGACCGGUGCCAGCCGCCGCGGUAACACCGGCGGCUCGAGUGGUAACCGUUAUUAUUGGGUCUAAAGGGUCUGUAGCCGGCCGGAUAAGUCCCUUGAGAAAUCUGGCGGCUUAACUGUCAGGCUUUCAGGAGAUACUGUCUGGCUCGAGGCCGGGAGAGGUGAGAGGUACUUCAGGGGUAGGGGUGAAAUCUUGUAAUCCUUGAAGGACCACCAGUGGCGAAGGCGUCUCACCAGAACGGACCUGACGGCAAGGGACGAAAGCUAGGGGCACGAACCGGAUUAGAUACCCGGGUAGUCCUAGCCGUAAACGAUACUCGCUAGGUGUCGGCCACGGUGCGACCGUUGUCGGUGCCGUAGGGAAGCCGUGAAGCGAGCCACCUGGGAAGUACGGCCGCAAGGCUGAAACUUAAAGGAAUUGGCGGGA